AUGGAGGCCGUGGUGGCGAGCGCCGUCACAGGAGCGAUGCGUACACUCCUGCCCAAGCUCGGCGUCCUGCUGGAGAAGUACAAGCUGUCCAAAGCCAUGAAGAAGGAGAUCGCCUCCUUGAGUGACGAGAUGAGCAGCAUGAACGCUCUGCUCGUGAAGCUGGCCAAGACCGAUGAUGGCGAGCUCGACGUGCAAGACAAGGUGUGGCGCGACCAGGUGCGCGAGCUGUCCUAUGAAAUGGAGGACUGCGUCGACGCCUUUACGGAUGAUCUUGAUGGUGGCGGCGGCAGGGUCGGGUUCUGGAGACGGCUUUCGACCAUCAAGACGCGGCACAACAUUGGCCGCCUGAUCGAAGAAUUGAAAUAUCGGGUGGUGGAAGUGAGUAAUCGCCACAACAGAUAUAAGCUUGAUGAGCCAGCUUGUACUACUUCUCGGAGCCCUGUGACCAUUGACCCUUGUCUAGAUGCACUGCAUACUGAGGCUGCCAGCCUUAUAGGCAUAGAUGGCCCUAAGGAGAAGCUCAUGGACCUAUUGCUGAGACAGGAUGAAUAUGCCAAUAAUCACUGGGCACUCAAAGUUGUAGCCAUCACUGGAUUUGGAGGUAUUGGCAAGACAACUCUUGCCAGCCAAGUCCGAGAUAUGAUCAAAGGUCAUUUCCACUGCACGGCCUUCGUAUCGGUGUCGCAGAAUCCAAGCAUGGUCGAUAUCUUGUCGACCAUACUCUCAGAAGUUGGGAGCUCCGUGCCUUCAUGGCAGAAUCACGAGCGUUUCCUCAUCAACAAACUGAGGGCACACCUCAUGGACAAAAGAUACCUUAUCGUCAUUGAUGAUAUAUGGAGAAUAGAAGCAUGGAAUAUUAUCAAAUGUGCCUUUGUGGAGAAUAACCUUGGUAGUAGAGUUAUAACAACUACACGUAUUGAAGAUGUGGCUCGGGCAUGUUGUUCUUGUUUCCUUGGCCAUGUGUACAAGGUCAAGCCUCUUAAUGAUCUUCACUCAAGGAGAUUAUUUUAUAGAAGGAUUUUCCCCUCUCAAGGUGCUUGUCCUGAGAAACUAAAGGAUGUCUCUGAUGAAAUUCUGAACAAAUGUGAAGGAGUUCCAUUAGUCAUAGUCAGUGUAGCUAGCAUUUUGGCUAGUCAUAAAGAGGGAUACUCAAAGAUAUUCUGGGAGAAGAUACAAAAUUAUUUAGGUUUGCAGUUGGAAGGUAACCGUGCUCUACAAUGGCUGAGACAUGUGCUUAAUCUAGGGUACAUUGAUUUAUCUCUGGACCUUAGGACAUGUAUGCUAUAUCUUGGUAUAUUCCCAGAAGAUUCUGAAAUAAUGAAGGAUGAUUUGAAGAAGAGAUGGAUAGCCGAGGGUUUCGUUACUGAAAGGCAUGGUUAUGGCCCGGAGUCGAUUGCAGAAGAUUUCUUUAAUGAGCUGAUUAAUAAAAACAUGAUACAAAUUGCAGAGUUUGAUGAUUGUGGGCACGUGUUAUCUUGUCGGGUGCAUGAUGUAAUGCUUGAGUUUAUCGUAUGGAAGUCCACGGAAGAAAAUUUCAUCAAUAUAAUCAAGGGACCCCCUACAGUUGAUGAUCCGCAAUGCAUGAAAGGAUGUUUGCAGGUUCGCAGGUUAUCCCUACAAGUCAGAAAUUCGCAGCACAAUGAGUUGCUGGGAAGCAUGGCUCUGACACAGGCCAGAUCAUUCAACUUUUGGGGGUCUGCUCAAUGGAUGCCUUCACUGUCGAGAUUUCAUGUCCUGCGAGUUCUACAUCUCGAUCUUGGUGUUUAUGACUCCAGAAAUGAGGAGGAACUGUCCUCCAUAGGCAGCUUUACCCAACUGAGGUAUUUGAGGAUCAGAGGCGCUGUGUUUAAGAAACUCCAGAGACAGUUGCAAAGAUUACAACAUCUGAAGACGUUGGAGAUAGUUGGCGAAGACAUAAAUGAGUUUUUACACCUAGAGCUCAAUGUCACAAAGUUACCACCGACGUUGUGGCACCUGAUUGUUCCAUAUACUGUGAAGCUGCCUGGUGAGAUCAGCAGGAUGCGUGCCCUCCGCACUCUGGGUGAACUCAGCAUAGAUCUCCAAGAUGUGGAGAACAUCAAAGGGCUCGGUGAACUGGGAGAUCUGAGGGACCUGAGGAUAAUUCUAGAUAAAGGUGUCCGGGAAGGCGAUUGUGCGGAUCUUGCUGGUUCCCUGAGCAGGCUCAAAUGCCUUGAGUCCCUAACCGUCCGUAUGGCUGGAUCCGUCAAAAUUGUUGAUGUCCUGACUAGCUGGUCGCCUCCUCCACGACAUCUUCGAAGACUACAUGGCUAG
rnacentral:rRNA from 1 species